ensembl:lncRNA
GGAACUUUAGGCAGAGAAAGAUACCAUUUACUAACUAUUCCAAAAGGAAGAGAUGACAGCACAGGAACCAAGGGUGAUGAUAAACGAACAGGUUCAUAUCCAAACUCGUCUACUUAUUGGUCAUGAAACUUGGAAUAAAUCCUUGAUUGUGAGGCUGGGUUGUUUGCAGAGAGACUCCAGAGAAAGAAAAUGGUUUGAUAAGAUCAAUGGGCAUAGAUCUAACGCUGUCAGAAAACUGGCAUGUCGUUUGAAAGGAAGGAGUAGAUCCUGGCCCCAAGAGGUUGAGGGCCACUUUCAUUUCCACAGGGAAUCAAGGAGCCAAGAAUGAACAAGAGUCUUCCAACAGGUUUUUACCAGCCCAGCCUGUCAGCAACAUCCAAGGUGGUCGGAGACCACAUAAUCCCAGCAGGGAAGCCUACAUCCCUUUUCAGCAGUUGUAAGAAGAGAGAUCUCCACUCCCUUGGUAUCCCAUAAAGGAUCAUGAGGAUUACAUCUCUCAGGGGGAAAAUGAGCUCUGCAACCUAGGCCUGGGUAUAGGGAAGUCUCUGGGCCAAAGUUGGUGGUGGUGAAAUGAUGGAACCACAGAUGAAGCCAGUGGUCAGGUCUGGGGCCUCCGCCUUUCAACGACAGUGCUUUAUCUUGAAAGAUAUUCAUUUCCAGCUUCAGGAGCUGUCUGAGGCCCAGGAAGAAAUGGACUUCAGAUCAACUCACCCAACACUGAAAGUGAAGAGCCACGAAGUAUGAGAAAGACCUACCUCAGGAACCUUGCUUGAGUCCCAGGUCAUCCCUAACCCAAGACGAGGAACCAGCAGAUUCAAUUUUUGCUUAGGCAAGUUUGGGUUCAUUUUUCUGUUCCUUGCAAC